AUUGAACGCUGGCGGCAUGCCUUACACAUGCAAGUCGAACGGUAACGCGGGGCAACCUGGCGACGAGUGGCGUACGGGUGAGUAAUGCAUCGGAACGUGCCCAGAAGUGGGGGAUAGCCCGGCGAAAGCCGGAUUAAUACCGCAUGAGACCUGAGGGUGAAAGCGGGGGAUCGCCAGACCUCGCGCUUUUGGAGCGGCCGAUGUCAGAUUAGCUAGUUGGUGGGGUAAAGGCCUACCAAGGCGACGAUCUGUAACUGGUCUGAGAGGACGACGAGCCACACUGGGACUGAGACACGGCCGAGACUCCUACGGGAGGCCGCAGUGGGGAAUUUUGGGCGAUGGGCGCAAGCCUGAUCCAGCCAUGCCGCGUGCGGGAAGAAGGACUUCGGGUUGGAAACCGAUGUUGUCAGGGAAGAAACGCUCUGGGCUAAUACGCUGGGGUAAUGACGGUACCUGAAGAAUAAGCACCGGCUAACUACGUG
rnacentral:rRNA from 1 species